rnacentral:rRNA from 1 species
UAGGGAAUAUUGGGCAAUGGUCGCAAGACUGACCCAGCCAUGCCGCGUGCAGGACGAAGGCCCUCUGGGUUGUAAACUGCUUUUGCAGGUGAAGAAAAAGUGGUUUGCGAACCAUAUUGACGGUAGCCUGCGAAUCAGCCACGGCUAACUACGUGCCAGCAGCCGCGGUAAUACGUAGGUGGCAAGCGUUGUCCGGAUUUAUUGGGUUUAAAGGGUGCGUAGGCGGAUGCUUAAGUCAGAGGUGAAAGACGGCCGCUCAACGGUCGCAGUGCCUUUGAUACUGAGCAUCUUGAGUGCAGACGAGGUCUGUGGAAUGGAUGGUGUAGCGGUGAAAUGCUUAGAUACCAUCCAGAACACCAAUUGCGAAGGCAGCAGACUAGGGUGCAACUGACGCUGAGGC